rnacentral:lncRNA from 1 species
UGAGUAUAUGUCGAUUUUUUGUAAGGGUCGGUUGGUAUUUUAUUUGGACCUGGUCAAGAGUCGAGUACUGUCCGGUAGUGUCGUUAGUAUGAAUAGUUUCUUUUUGAUUUGGACUAGUUUAUUUGUAUUGAUGGAUUUUUGUAUGUAAAUCUAUUUCUGUUUAUAUGUUGUUUUUUUUUAUUAUCAGUACUUCGUACUUCUUUUUGUGGGGAGGAACUGUCACAGGGUGACUUUGGUUACUCACAUAUAUGUUGUUAUUUUGGUUGUUAAUUCUAUUUCGAUUUGCAGAGCGUCAGUAUCUUAUAAAUGCUAUAUUCUGCAGACUUCAGUGUAUAAUACAUGUCCACAUUUUACAUCUAAUUAAUUAGGUAGUGUCCACUAUUUACUUGGGCAUUUACCUGUAAACUUGUCGAACGGGUUGAGUAACAUGUGAUACCUGUAUUUGAUGAGCUGACUAUUCACUCUCAGGUAACACCUUAACGAGUCAAGGUGUGGCCAGAUAUGUUUUGUAUAAAGUUAGUUUACAAUGUGGCGUGGACACACACACUGGAUUUCUGAGGUAGGACUCAAUUUAUUCUUAUUUAUUUAAUCAUUAUUCGUUCUAAAGUGUUCAGUUUUCUGCAACAACGCAAAUAUAGAAUAAUUAUUUAAAUUGUAAUUGUAAUUUUUGACAUUGCUAUUUUGUAAAUGUCACAAGUUAAUUAAUGUUCAUUAUAAUGAAAGUUUAACACGGUUAUAUGUUUUCGGUUGUAGUAAAUAUUCGAGUGUCGAAAUCGUUUGGUAUUUUAGGAACGUUUGUGUACGAUAAUGCAAUGAUGUAUGUAUCUCCAUAAGUAUGUAAAGUAAUAUGCAACGUAUAAGCAUAAAUGUAUAUUCAGCGUUAAAAGCUGUAUAUUGUGUGUAGUAAUUGUAUAAUGAUAGUAUACAAUAAAGUCAAUUAUGUGACUUGUAAAGUAAGGCAUUAUACGAUAUGCCGUAGCUUGUAUUGUGUAAAGUAAGGCAUUAUACGAUAUGCCGUAAUUAUUUGAGUAUAAGUAAUGCAUUAUUCAAUAUGCUGUAAUCUUCUAUAGAUUGAACAUAAGUAGUCGUACUAAGUAUUUGUCAUUAUUUAUGCGACAUGUGUAAUACAUAAACAUAAUUAUGUAUAUUUCUUGAGUAUAGUAUUGUAUUUUAACGUACAGUAUGUAUUUCAAUAGGUCCCAGUUUCGGGCUAGAUGUAUGUAGUUUUGAUUAGUAAAGUAUGGAGAUAUAUUACAAAUGGUGGUGAAACCUGUUGACGGUGCGACGUUCCAUGUUUUUCAUCAAUAGUUUGGCAACCUACAAUAUUUGGAGUCGAGUCUAGACAAUAGGGCAGCCGUAAUGUGUACACCGCUUAUGUUGGGCCAGUUUUGUGUAGUUACCAAAAACCAAAUACGUAAACUUCCGUAGUAUCGUUAUCCAGAUUUCAAAGCUAAAUAUAAAGAAG